GACGAACGCUGGCGGCGUGCUUAACACAUGCAAGUCGAACGGAAAGGCCCUGCUUUUGUGGGGUGCUCGAGUGGCGAACGGGUGAGUAACACGUGAGUAACCUGCCCUUGACUUCGGGAUAACUUCAGGAAACUGGGGCUAAUACCGGAUAGGAGCUCCUGCUGCAUGGUGGGGGUUGGAAAGUUUCGGCGGUUGGGGAUGGACUCGCGGCUUAUCCGCUUGUUGGUGGGGUAGUGGCUUACCAAGGCUUUGACGGGUAGCCGGCCUGAGAGGGUGACCGGCCACAUUGGGACUGAGAUACGGCCCAGACUCCUACGGGAGGCAGCAGUGGGGAAUAUUGCACAAUGGGCGGAAGCCUGAUGCAGCAACGCCGCGUGCGGGAUGACGGCCUUCGGGUUGUAAACCGCUUUCGCCUGUGACGAAGCGUGAGUGACGGUAAUGGGUAAAGAAGCACCGGCUAACUACGUG
rnacentral:rRNA from 1 species